GGGUUGUGAGGUUAAGCGACUAAGCGUACACGGUGGAUGCCCUGGCAGUCAGAGGCGAUGAAGGACGUGCUAAUCUGCGAUAAGCGUCGGUGAGGUGAUAUGAACCGUUAUAACCGGCGAUUUCCGAAUGGGGAAACCCAGUGUGUUUCGACACACUAUCAUUAACUGAAUCCAUAGGUUAAUGAGGCGAACCGGGGGAACUGAAACAUCUAAGUACCCCGAGGAAAAGAAAUCAACCGAGAUUCCCCCAGUAGCGGCGAGCGAACGGGGAGGAGCCCAGAGGAGCGUCGUGUAGGGGG
rnacentral:rRNA from 1 species